AUAGCUUUCGGGCUAAGUUAGGCC
rnacentral:siRNA from 1 species